GAUGAACGCUGGCGGCGUGCCUAAUACAUGCAAGUCGAGCGAACGGAUGAGAAGCUUGCUUCUCUGAUGUUAGCGGCGGACGGGUGAGUAACACGUGGAUAACCUACCUAUAAGACUGGGAUAACUUCGGGAAACCGGAGCUAAUACCGGAUAAUAUUUUGAACCGCAUGGUUCAAAAGUGAAAGACGGUCUUGCUGUCACUUAUAGAUGGAUCCGCGCUGCAUUAGCUAGUUGGUAAGGUAACGGCUUACCAAGGCAACGAUGCAUAGCCGACCUGAGAGGGUGAUCGGCCACACUGGAACUGAGACACGGUCCAGACUCCUACGGGAGGCAGCAGUAGGGAAUCUUCCGCAAUGGGCGAAAGCCUGACGGAGCAACGCCGCGUGAGUGAUGAAGGUCUUCGGAUCGUAAAACUCUGUUAUGAGGGAAGAACAUAUGUGUAAGUAACUGUGCACAUCUUGACGGUACCUAAUCAGAAAGCCACGGCUAACUACGUG
rnacentral:rRNA from 1 species